GACGAACGCUGGCGGCGUGCCUAAUACAUGCAAGUAGAACGCUGAAGCGAGGAGCUUGCUCUUCUUGGAUGAGUUGCGAACGGGUGAGUAACGCGUAGGUAACCUGCCUUGUAGCGGGGGAUAACUAUUGGAAACGAUAGCUAAUACCGCAUAACAAUGGAUGACACAUGUCAUUUAUUUGAAAGGGGCAAUUGCUCCACUACAAGAUGGACCUGCGUUGUAUUAGCUAGUAGGUGAGGUAAUGGCUCACCUAGGCGACGAUACAUAGCCGACCUGAGAGGGUGAUCGGCCAUACUGGGACUGAGACACGGCCCAGACUCCUACGGGAGGCAGCAGUAGGGAAUCUUCGGCAAUGGGGGCAACCCUGACCGAGCAACGCCGCGUGAGUGAAGAAGGUUUUCGGAUCGUAAAGCUCUGUUGUAAGUCAAGAACGGGUGUGAGAGUGGAAAGUUCACACUGUGACGGUAGCUUACCAGAAAGGGACGGCUAACUACGUG
rnacentral:rRNA from 1 species